GACGAACGCUGGCGGCGUGGAUUAGGCAUGCAAGUCGAACGGUAUCAUCCUUUCGGGGGUGAGAGAGUGGCGAACUGGUGAGUAACACGUAGGUUAUCUACCCUCAAGACGGGGACAACCCAGGGAAACUUGGGCUAAUACCGGAUGUGAGCAACUUUUAGUUGUUUGAAAGGUGGCGUAAGCUGUCGCUUGGGGAUGAGCCUGCGUCCUAUUAGUUAGUUGGUGAGGUAACGGCUCACCUAGGCAAUGAUAGGUAGGCGGCCUUAACGGGUGGUCCGCCCACACUGGGAUUGAGAUGCGGCCCAGACUCCUACGGGAGGCAGCAGUCGAGAAUAGUCUACAAUGGUCGGAAGACUGAUAGUGCGACGCCGCGUGAACGAUGAAUCCCUUCGGGGUGUAAAGUUCUUUUAUAUGUGAGCAGUGCUUCUUAUAUUAACAGUAUGGGGAAGAGAUAUUAGCAUAUGAAUAAGCAACGGCUAACUCCGUGCCAGCAGCCGCGGUAA
rnacentral:rRNA from 1 species